rnacentral:lncRNA from 1 species
UAAUAUCAUAGGCAUGGAAAUGAAAUGAAGCAAAACAUCUCAAAGCAUAAUUAAUUUGAAAAAACAAGAAACUCCAAGAAGAUAUUUAUUAGAGUUUAAAGGCCUGUGGCGACGGACUAGUGAAGGGUUUCGGUUCCGGUCCAAUUUCCUUGGUGAAGAACCAUCUUAACUAAUCUGUCAAAAUUAUUGUAAGACUGACCUCCAACGGCAGUCGCUGCUUCAGCUUUCUUUUUCCAUUCCCAAGCCUUCUGCCUCAUUUUCUUUCCUUCAUCUCCUUCCAUCAUUUCCUUAACAAGAGCCUCAAUGUCACCACGCUUCACAUCAUGAUUGACUUCCAUGCCAAUGCCCCAAGUUGUGCAUGCAUAUCUGCAAUUUGUUUGUUGCUCAGCAAAGAAAGGCCAGCAAAUUACAGGCACGCCACCGCAAAUGCUCUCCAUUGUAGAAUUCCAGCCGCAAUGUGUCAGAAAAGCUCCAACUGAGGGGUGCAACAGCACUUGCUCUUGGUUGCACCAGCUAACUAUCAAUCCUCUAUCCUUGAUCUCUUCAAAAUACUCGUCAGGCAAGACCACGGAGUCGCCCAUCACAACGUCCGGCCUAAGAAUCCAUAAAAAUGGACGCUUGCUAUUUGCAAGACCCCAUGCAAAUUCUGUCAAGUGUUGCUCUGACAUCACAGUCACGCUGCCAUAAUUAACGUACACAACUGAAUUGGCAUCUCUUUUGUCGAGCCAUUUGAGACAGUCAGUGUCUUCCUUCCACAAGCUUGAUCCAAAUGACCUAAAUUUGGUUUCAUCCACUUGCUUGCAGAGCAACGGGAGUGGACCUACGGUGUAAAUGUUAGGAAAUUUCGAAGCAAUAACCUCUAAAGCUGCAUGUUCAAACUCAUCGAAUGUGUUAAAUAUGAUUGCAGAAGAUCUGAAGCAAUUUUGUGCUUCUGAGCCCAUGAAAUCGAACAUAAUUUCGUUAGGGUCGGUGGUUCUGAUAAAGCUUGGUAAAUCCCUGAGCCGAAUAUUGCUCAUGCCGGGGAUCCAAUCAAUAGGUUUCUCAAGAGUGCCAUCCGUAAGGAAUUUUUCAUCUGAAACACAAAAAUAGUUUUAACUUGUUAGUUUAUGGCUGAGAGGAUGAGUCAAAAUAUUCUCUGAGGAGAGGUAGUGCCAACUUCAUCACAUUACCAAUCAUUGAGGCUUCACCUAUAAAUGAUUAAAAUACUAAAUCGUUGUAAACGCAUUGAGUUUCUAUGGUGUGUUGAGGUGAUGAUAAUUGGUUGGUGCGGAGCAAGGAUUCAAAAUAUAAGGGGAUAAAAACUCAGAGAGUUAUUUUUUUUUAGGUCACAAUCUCCUUGUCACAUCAUUAAUAUAAUUAUAUUGUAAUAUAAAAAUAAAAUGUUUUUUGAGGCCAGAUAAAUUAUGUUAAGAUAUGUCUGGACAAGUUUAAACUUGUGAUUGUAACAUUAAUACAAUUAUAUUGUAAUAUGAGAAAAAAAAAAUACUUUUUGAGGCCAAAAACUUAUGUUUGAAAAAGAAAAGAUGCAGCUGCUAGGCAAAAUGUCCAAAUGUCCACAGCUUUAAAAAAUUACAAGGACAAUGACAUUAAGUGGGUCAGUUAGUGUUUUUAUAAAGGGUGGAAUUAUUUGAAUCUACUAAAUUUUUUUUAUACCCAUUUUAAAAAAAAAUAAAUACUUUAUUAAAAAUUUGAAAUUUCUUUCUCUCUCCGUUUCAAGAUUUGCACAGGCUUUCUCUAUUUUUACAUUCUGCUAAUUUAACUCUCAAUUCUACUCUUUUUUGAAUUCUUUGUUUUGUUUUGUUAGUGAAUCAUAAUCUCCAUUUCAUAUUUUCUAUGCAUAAUUUUUUUUCUUACUACUCACAAAUUUUAGUGAUUGGUAAAACUCACAUUCCUAAUGUUCAUUAAUUUUCAUAACUGAUAAAUUUUGGUGAUUUUUAUUUUUGAAUGAUGGAUUUUGAUCCUCUUAAUUUAUGAUAAUUUAAACGAAACUAAUUAUUUGUAGUAUGUAGUUAAAAGAAAAUAUAUGAAAGAAUUGAUGAGAAUUGAAGAAUUAAAAAUGAAAAGAAAAGAAAUAAUUAAUUGAGUAACAUUAUUAAAAAUUAAUUUUAAUAAUAAAAUAUAAUAAAGAGAGAAAAUUAAUGGGUACAAACAAACCUCACCAUAUAUUUUAUGAUUGGUCUCACGUCAGAUAGCACACCACAAUAAAGGAUGGUUCAAUAGAUAUUUAUUAGUAAAUUUUUCGUAUGCAAAUAAAAUGGGUCCCUGUAGGCCCAUAAUUAGCCGAAUCCUUGGCCGUACUACACCACCACAGGCACGAACAACAAGAAAAUCGACUUACAAACUUUUAUUUUAUUUUAUUUUUUAAAAAAAAAAAUCACUUAUAAUGUUGUUGCUAGUGAAAAUCAAUUUUCCCUCUUUGGAGGCAAAAUUAACCGUACGAUUACUUUUUAAGAAUUAAUUGACAAACAGAAAUCAAUUCAAAAAGAAUAAUUGACUAAUAGAGAUGAAAUGAAAUAUUUCAAAUGAAAACAAAAGUUUAAUCUUUAAUAUUAAGACACCGAACAUCAAUAAAACCCAGUGCAAAUUUUACUUAUAAAUUUCGAUAGUUCUUAUUAAUGUAUAAAAUUAAGCCGGAAGUAGAAUGAAUGAAAAUAUUGCUAUGUUUUACAAAUCCUCUUCAUAAAUUAAGAUAGAUCUUAUGUUAUGGAAUUAAAAGGAACGGAUGGAAAGAAAGAGCUGCUGUACGGCCAAGGCGGAUGUACGGUACAGCAGUUCUUUUCAGCUCAACAACUCCAGGCCUCCAGGCUCUAACCAUGAAAGUUUGUGGAGUGGCCUUACUACCGGGAACUACCAGUUUUACAACCCCUGGAAAAUACUCCAUCGGAAACCACGCAAGUAACCGGCGGCACCUGAUCAUCGGCUGAUGAAUUUAAUUUACCCAGCAACUCUAAGAAUGGAGCCAAACAGUUUUUUCUAGUGGAAUCACAUAACGCGGGAACAUCUUGUGUUGCAUCACGAUCAGACGGCGGUAAUCCGUCCGGAAUGGUUUCGAAUCGAAAAUCGGGCAGACCCUUUACGUAGUCAGGCCCUUUUGAUCGGAUUAGACGUCUGUGAUUGAACUCGGUGUUCACAAAGGUUAUAUGGAAGCCUUUUGAAUGUAAAAGUUUGGCUACUUGCAUCAAGGGACUUACAUGGCCUUGUGCUGGAUAUGGAACGCAUACUGCAUGAACUUUUCUUGCUCCGGCUGGAUCCAUCUUUUGAAUCAACUAUCAAGUGGAUUCAGUUCAAUAUCAAGCCUGUAUGCAGUGCAGAGACUUAUGGUUUCAGCUUUGCAAUUUAUUGUCAAAUUGCGGUAACUAUUGUUUUCCUUGAAAGUGAACUAUUGUUUUCCAAUAACACGGGAAUCAUCGAAAGAGACCGUGAAUUGUUAUUUACUUCAAAAAGAUAAUAAAAAUUAAAAAGACUAGACAGAACCUGACAAAAUCGGAGUAUGCGUUCGGCCGGCUUACUGUGUUGGCAAUUAAAUAUUUAAAUCCGAUUGAGAUUAAACACCGCCUCUUUAGCAUUUCAUGUGAUUUUUAUUUUUUAUUUUUGUUUAAAUAUCAGUGCACUAAAAAAAAUUGUUAGUCUGGAUUUUUUUAAAUCAAAAUUAUCUCGAAUUUUUAAUAGUUCACUGAAUAAAAUUGAUUGCAACUGUUUGUAUUCCAAAAUAUAUAUAUAUAUAUACUCUAGAAACUCAUAUUUUAUAAAAUUUUAUAUAUAAAAAUAUCUGUAGUUAAAAUUACUAUUAAGGACAACUUGUAACAUUAAAUAAAAUACUACAUUUAACACGGCAUGUGUUUGAAUCUAAUCUCAAAGGACUCUUACAGUUCCCUCUUUUAACUAAAAAUUGGUUAGCAAUAGGCAUCUUUCUAUUGAUGUGUGCAGAGCAAAUAUUCUUAGAGUAAUGAUAUAGCCACAAACUCUUGUACAAACUUAUUUUGUACAAACUGAUGUGGCAUGAUAAGAUUGGUUGAAUUAAAUAUCACUUGGCCCACAUGAUUUGUUUUUAUUAUUUUAUAUUUUCAUUCAACCAAUGAAUUAAUGCCACGUCAGUUUGUACAAAAUAAAUUUGUACAAGAGUUUAUGGCUGUAUCAUUACUCAUAUUCUUAUAAUAUUUGCGAGGUUACAAAUUGUGUAAUAAUACAUUUGAUUUUAAAGUGAUCCUAAAAAAAUAUGUGAUGUAAAUAUCAAUAGAUUAUACAAUAGAACACCUUUUCAUCCAGCAUUCAUAUAUUCAAUUUCCAAUUUUUCAUAUCACUUUCGACAAAUCCCGAGUUAUAUGUUCUUCUUUGAUGAUUUUAUUUCCUAGAGAAUGAAACUUUACUUGAAAUUCAUAAUGAAUUAAAUGCAAAUAGCUGCAAGUUGUUUUCCAAUAAAGGGGGUGUAUUGUUCAACUCUGUAAAGUCCAAAUGUCUUAUAUAUUGAAACAAGUUUAUUAUACACUUUCCAUGAGUUUUAUUUUUUAUUUUUUCUUUUCUUUUUCAGUGGGUGUUAGAAGGAAUCAAAUUGAACAAAUGAUUGUUUUAAUUAAAAGAAUAUUUAAACUACCUUUUUAGGGUGCAUUUGUAUAGCUUCGUUCAACGAAAUUUGUAAUUUAUAAACCUAAAAUAUAUAUAUAUAAUUCAUUUAUUUUUUAAGAAAUUUAAAUCGUUAAUUUCAGAAAAAUUAAUAAAUUGUCAUUAUCAUAUGGCUGAUCCGAUGUUAAUACCAAACGACAUGUAAGAUAUUGAUGAAAUAAUGAAAUUUGUAUAUAUAUAUAUAUAUAUAGUCCGGAAUCUUAAAAUGCGGGAAAAUUUUAAAACCACAGGAUUUUAAAGACUUACAACUUGAAACGCUUAAACCGCACGAUUUAUACGUUUUUCCGAACGUUCCUACACUUUAAAAUUCUGGACUGAAACAUUUCUAAUAUAUAUUCAUUUAAUUUUUAAGGAAUUUAAAUCCUUAAUCUAAAAAAAAAAUUUCUAUCAUACAGCUGAUUCGGGUUUAAUACCAAUAACAAGAACAUAUUGUGCUGAGUGGUGACUAGUGAGUAAUAAAUAAUAUUAAAUGGAGCUUGACUAUGUUUAGAUUAUGUUACAGACAAUGUGACAUACAACAAAUAGAUUAAUUGUCACUUAUAGUAAUUUAAUUAUUUUAUAUACUACAAUUUUGUAAUUUUGAGUAACAACUCAAAAGUUAGUCUACAUUAUACAUGACGUAACAUAGCUUGAUCCCAUUAAAUGACAAAUUAUUACAUUACAGACAAGAUUAAACUUUUAAAAAAAAUAUGACAUCCAAUUGCAGCCCUUCUCUCGCGACAUUUUGAUAUUUUCCACCCAGGUGAAGAAAAGUAUUUAGUUUGAAUAUUCGUUAAUUUUUGGCUAAAUAAAAUUGUAAUAUAUAGUGUGCGGUCCAUAAUCAGAGCUUGACGGGUCAAAUUACAUUAUUAAUACGCCGAUUAAUUGAGUUUAGCUCCAAAUCACUAGCAGAAUAAGAAAUUUCAAAACACAGAUUUCGUCCUUUUUCAUAUGAAAAAGAUUUGUGCAACUUCAUGUCACGAUCUAAAUCUAACCCCAGUCGUAUGCAAUCUCAAUGCAAUUGACCUGUGGUUUGGUAAUAUCAUGAAAAAGAUUUGUGCAACUUCAUGUCAUGAUCUAAAUCUAACCCCAGUCGUAUGCAAUCUCAAUGCAAUUGACCUGUGGUUUGGUAAUAUCCCUUUGGAAAGUUAAUUCGUCUAUUGAUGAGCAAUAUUCGAUUGCAAGUUGCAAUACCGAUGAGGCUUAAAAAUAUCUCUCGACAAACAAUUAAAGAGCUUAAUAAAUUUUGCCUUUUUCUCUCCAACACUUAGAUUUAUACUUGGUUGAGAUUUAUACUUGGUUGAUUAGCCGAACAGAUAACAAUUUAUUGCUGACCUAAGUUUGGGGCACAGAAUAAAUAGUUAUUAGAUAAAAAAUAAUUAUUAUUAUAUUUAUUGAUUCGGUUCUUAGCAAAAACUCAAUUGAAUGUUGAAUUUUAUCUCAACCAAAUAUGAUAGCAUCAGCAUUGAGAUAAUGACAAUAUUGUAGCAUCAAUGCAAAGAUAAGAUAAGAGAUGUUGAAUGUCGAAUUGAGAUUGCUUCAGGAUAUAACCGAGUGGUUUGUAAGUGAUUUAUUUAAACAUCUAAAUUUAAAUUAUAAGAAAGAUAAGAGAUUGAAAAUCAAUUUGUGUUUACUCAUCCCUAUCUUUUAAGAAAAAUUAUUUAUGUAUGAAAAAAAAAAUUGAAUCGGUGCCUCUCUGCCUCAUCAUACGUAACGAGAUCAAAAGCUUCUAAAGUUGUAACGGAUAAGAUGGAAGAAAAUACUGCUCACUCAGCUACGUGCAAUUCAUUCUUUGGCUUAUUCAUCAAUCAUUGCCAUUUUCACUUAAGAAAAGUCACUUUGUAAGGUUCGUGCACGUAUGUCUUUCAUCUCUUUUAAUAAAUAUACGGUUCAUAAUUAGGUUGAUUUUUUUUUGGAAUGACUCUUGAUCUCACAUCAAGGUACAGAGUUAAUUGAAUGGUACUUGGUUCAUCUACAUAAGCCGACAUUUCGGAAUUAAAUACGUAAUUCUAUGAAUUUUUUAUGUGCAUUUUAAAGAAAUUCGAUGAGUACAAUAAUAUCUUUGUAUUGAUGUAAGUGAACGAUUCGGCGGAGAAGGUUUCGGAGCCCAGAUAUUGUACCAAGUGGGCUAAUGUCCCGAAAUUUGGGGCUAAGUACAGUUAUGUAUUGGCGCUAAUUUACUGAAACCUUCAGACGUUUUGCAAAAUCACAAAUUUCUAGAGCGAUAUCAUUACUUAAUUUCAAAGGACCUCCGCUUGACUUAACAGCAAAACGUUUUGCAAACGCCAACUUGCCAAGACCAAGACGCAGGUAGUACCUGAAAUAUUGAUAAAUUCUCUGCAUGUCACAAACUAAAUAAAUUGAACUUGUAAUGUAAAGAUUAAAACUGACUAAAUUGAACAAGUAAUUAAACUUGCAACGACCGUAUGAUUACCCUGAAAACAAAGAUUUACGUAAAAAAUGCCCUGAAGUAGAAAGAAUUACACCUGAAACUGUUAAUCAGCAGCAUGUACUGCAGGUCUUGUAGUUGUAGAGGCUAUAGGGGAUGCUCUUUCAAGAAAUCCCUUUGCAUCAGUUUGAACAGAAUUUCUUGUUUAAACUUUUUCCCUUAGGUGAAAUAAUGUAACUAACUUUGUCCAAUGUUUAGAUAGAUACACGAAGCAUAUAGAAAUUAAGGUAUCCCUGAUAUCAUUAAUGACGUGUUUACUAAUGAAUAAUUGGAAUGUAGUGGAAUUGGAAUGAGAAAUGGGGAAUGAGAAUCAAAAUAAAUUGUUUACUUUAACUGUGAGAAUCAUAAUCGAAUUGUAUUGUCGUUGAUGUGUUUACUUUAUUUUAGAAUUGGAAUGGAUUGUUACAAGUUAUUAAACUGACUAUAGUAGAUUAUUGUCAAUUAUUAUUAUUAUUAUUAUUAUUAUUAUUAUUAUUAUUAUUAUUACUAUUACUACUAGUAGUAGCAAUAAUAAUGAUUAAUAAUUAUAAUUAAUAUUAAUAGUAACAAUUUAUUAUUAUUAUUGUUAUUGUUGUUGUUAUCAACAAAAAAAUUUUCCUACUACUACUGCUGCCGCUGCUACUACUACUAAUAAUAAUAAUAUAAGGAUAAAAUGGGAAUUUCAAAAUUUAAGUAGGGUAAUAUAGUCACAUUAGGAAACGGGGAUCUCAUUUCCACCUUCCCAUAGGAACGAGAACUCUACUAAUCAUUAUUAAUUUUAGGUGGGACCCAUCACUUUGAUUUUCAUUUUACCUUUUAUUUAAAUAAGUAAGCACAUCAUUUAUUCACAUUUCUUAAAUCUCAUUUCCAUUCCCAAUAAAUAAACACACCAUAAGUUAAGGAUAAGUAUUUUCUCAUGAUCUGAUCAUGUUCUGAGCAAAUAAUUCAAUUGUUAAUUGAUUGUUAAUAAUAAAAAAAUUAAAUUUUACUCAUACACUAUCACUAAAAGACACAUGAUAGAAGAUCUUUAAAAACUCAGUAGAGCUCGCUCGUAUCAAGAGAGGAUCCUAUUCAUAAGUUAAACAAGGACCCACACCCUAAAACUAACACUUUCUAAAAUUUAUUUCGAUUCAUUGAAUUUUCGGGUCCUGUUAGACUGCCCGUUCAUAUUAAUUUAUUGGUAGUAAACAAUGUACAGGAUAUCAAAUAACCGGCAUCGUCAAACUUCUGGGGUUGGAUUCGAUCCAACCCUUCUUCGGCGGCGAGGAGAGAACCGAGUCGGAGAUCCAAUUAUCCGGGUCGCCUUUGGUCUCCACGGCCCGAACCGACUGGAUAUGGAAGGCGUUUUUGCCAGACGGGUCAAAUCGAGACCACGAAGCAUCGAACGUGAGUGGGCCCAACGCGGUGGAUGUUUCGGGCUUGGAAUAUCCGGAUACGGUUGUGGUGGUGGGGGGGUUCGACCCGUUGCAGGAUUGGCAAAGAAGAUAUUACGAGUGGUUGAAAAAAUCAGGAAAAGAAGCAACACUGAUCGAGUAUCCAAACAUGAUCCAUGCGUUUUAUGUUUUUCCGGAAUUGCCGGAGGCUUCUCAGUUAAUAUCACAAAUUAAAGAUUUUAUAUCCAAGAGGAUAUCUAAAAUAUAAGUGGUGUGUUUUACUUUUACAUAAUAAUCUCGUAAUAUUCGUAAAUUACGGAGGAAUGCCUUGGUGUCUGUCGUUAUUGUGGAGAAGUAUAAAAUAUUAUGCUAUUUAUAUUGUGAGAUGUGGUGUGCUUUAUGAGAUAAUCUAUGAAUAAAUUUAUUUCGAUUCAUUGAAUUUUCGGGUCCUGUUAGACUGCCCGUUCAUAUUAAUUUAUUGGUAGUAAUUUAUAGGCAUAUCAACUUGUGUCCCUUUAGCUUCAUGCAUUUAUAUCGAAAUCAAAGGAAACACUCGACAAAAAGUUCAGUAACAUUUAAAUUGGAAUCCGCACAUAUGAGACUUGUAAAACAAAUGAGAGGUAAAAUAAAACUUAUAAAUACGAGGUAAAAUAAUAAAUCAAUAUAAAAAAGGUAAAUUAUUGCUUUAAAAUUAUAAACAAAAUAAAUACAUAUAAAAAUAACAUUUAAUUUAUAAGUUAACAAUACAAAUAAAAAUAACAUUAAAUUUAUAAAUUAACAUUAAAUUUUAAUUAAAAAUAAUUUAUUCAUUUCAUUUAAUUAACAAAGAAAAAAAUUAUUGAUCAGUUGAAAAAAAAAUUGUAUUCAAAAUAAUUGGAUAAAUUUUAUUGAACUGGUUUGACUAUAAAUUUUGUAUUCAUUCUAUAACAUUUAUAAAUUUUUAUUUUUAUUUUUUAUCAUAGUAUUUGUUUACUACAUAAAUUGAUUAAGCAAAUAAAAAGAUAUUCUUAUUUUUUAGACAUAUAUGAUAUAGCAAUAAAAUUAAAUUUUAUUAUCAGUUUUAUACAUAUUUCACGUGGUCUUUUUUUUUUUUGAAUACUGAUUAAUCAUCAGAUUACUGCAUUACACAGAUAUUUACAAUAACUGAUAUUGUAGCAGAGAUAUUACACUGAUAUUUACAAUCAGAUAUACAUGAUUGGGACUUACUUUAUUACAUUGAAUUCUAUGAAGUACAUGCCCAGAUAAAUAAUCCCUCACAGGGGAGAGAUGUCCAUACUCCACUCGCAUUUCGCAAGGGAGAAUGAUUUUUAAAUAUGAAGAACAUUUAUACUUUACUUUUUUACUUGUAUUUAAACAUUAUGUUGAAUUGCUUUUGAGAAGGUCUAGAAGGAAGCAAAAUCAACUUAUCUUACAAACUCUUUGAAAAACAUGAAAAGAAUAGUUUUUCAAAAUUCAAUUUUGAGAAUAAGUUUAUCUUAAUAAAAUUUCACAUAUAUUAUCACAUGUAUUACAUAAACCCAAAAUUAUCAUUACUCAAUUUAGAAAUAAAAUCAAUAAAUGUUUAAGGUAAUUAUCCUUAUAAUGAGUUUUUAUUUUACGUUUAUAAUUUUUUAUUUUUUUAAUAACUCUUAUAUUAAUUUACUUAUUUUAUCUUCCAUUUACAUAAUUUAUGUUUUAUUUUACACUUGAUGUGAUUUAUAAGUUUUAUAUUAUAUUUUCAUUUUUUGUUUUGUUUACUAAUAAUAUACCAAUUUAUCACUCCUAUAUUCAUUUACUUGUUUUACCUUCUAUAUAUAAGUCUUAUUCUUCAUUUACAUAAUAUAUGUUUUAUUUUACAUUUAGUGUUGAUUUACAAGUUUUAUCUUACAUUUGUAAGUUUUUACUUUGUUUACCAAUAAUACACAUAUUUGUGGUUGAAAAAAUCAGGAAAAGAAGCAACACUGAUCGAGUAUCCAAACAUGAUCCAUGCGUUUUAUGUUUUUCCGGAAUUGCCGGAGGCUUCUCAGUUAAUAUCACAAAUUAAAGAUUUUAUAUCCAAGAGGAUAUCUAAAAUAUAAGUGGCGUGUUUAACUUUUACAUAAUAAUCUCGUAAUAUUCGUAAAUUACGGAGGAAUGCCUUGGUGUCUGUCGUUAUUGUGGAGAAGUAUAAAAUAUUAUGCUAUUUAUAUUGUGAGAUGUGGUGUGCUUUAUGAGAUAAUCUAUGAAUAAAUUUAUUUCGAUUCAUUGAAUUUUCGGGUCCUGUUAGACUGCCCGUUCAUAUUAAUUUAUUGGUAGUAAUUUAUAGGCAUAUCAACUUGUGUCCCUUUAGCUUCAUGCAUUUAUAUCGAAAUCAAAGGAAACACUCGACAAAAAGUUCAGUAACAUUUAAAUUGGAAUCCGCACAUAUGAGACUUGUAAAACAAAUGAGAGGUAAAAUAAAACUUAUAAAUACGAGGUAAAAUAAUAAAUCAAUAUAAAAAAGGUAAAUUAUUGCUUUAAAAUUAUAAACAAAAUAAAUACAUAUAAAAAUAACAUUUAAUUUAUAAGUUAACAAUACAAAUAAAAAUAACAUUAAAUUUAUAAAUUAACAUUAAAUUUUAAUUAAAAAUAAUUUAUUCAUUUCAUUUAAUUAACAAAGAAAAAAAUUAUUGAUCAGUUGAAAAAAAAAUUGUAUUCAAAAUAAUUGGAUAAAUUUUAUUGAACUGGUUUGACUAUAAAUUUUGUAUUCAUUCUAUAACAUUUAUAAAUUUUUAUUUUUAUUUUUUAUCAUAGUAUUUGUUUACUACAUAAAUUGAUUAAGCAAAUAAAAAGAUAUUCUUAUUUUUUAGACAUAUAUGAUAUAGCAAUAAAAUUAAAUUUUAUUAUCAGUUUUAUACAUAUUUCACGUGGUCUUUUUUUUUUUUGAAUACUGAUUAAUCAUCAGAUUACUGCAUUACACAGAUAUUUACAAUAACUGAUAUUGUAGCAGAGAUAUUACACUGAUAUUUACAAUCAGAUAUACAUGAUUGGGACUUACUUUAUUACAUUGAAUUCUAUGAAGUACAUGCCCAGAUAAAUAAUCCCUCACAGGGGAGAGAUGUCCAUACUCCACUCGCAUUUCGCAAGGGAGAAUGAUUUUUAAAUAUGAAGAACAUUUAUACUUUACUUUUUUACUUGUAUUUAAACAUUAUGUUGAAUUGCUUUUGAGAAGGUCUAGAAGGAAGCAAAAUCAACUUAUCUUACAAACUCUUUGAAAAACAUGAAAAGAAUAGUUUUUCAAAAUUCAAUUUUGAGAAUAAGUUUAUCUUAAUAAAAUUUCACAUAUAUUAUCACAUGUAUUACAUAAACCCAAAAUUAUCAUUACUCAAUUUAGAAAUAAAAUCAAUAAAUGUUUAAGGUAAUUAUCCUUAUAAUGAGUUUUUAUUUUACGUUUAUAAUUUUUUAUUUUUUUAAUAACUCUUAUAUUAAUUUACUUAUUUUAUCUUCCAUUUACAUAAUUUAUGUUUUAUUUUACACUUGAUGUGAUUUAUAAGUUUUAUAUUAUAUUUUCAUUUUUUGUUUUGUUUACUAAUAAUAUACCAAUUUAUCACUCCUAUAUUCAUUUACUUGUUUUACCUUCUAUAUAUAAGUCUUAUUCUUCAUUUACAUAAUAUAUGUUUUAUUUUACAUUUAGUGUUGAUUUACAAGUUUUAUCUUACAUUUGUAAGUUUUUACUUUGUUUACCAAUAAUACACAUAUUUACUACUAUUGUGUUAAUUUACUUAUUUUAUCUUCUAGUUACAAGUCUUAUAUUUCAUUUACAUAAUUUAUGUUGUAUUUUAUACUUAACAUUGAUUUACAAGUUUUAUGUUACAUUUGUAAGUUUUUAUUUUGUUUAGUAAUAAUACAACAAUUUACCAUUCUUAUAUUAAUUUACUUGUUUAUCUACUAUCUACAAGUCCUACAUUUCAUUUUACAUAAUUUAUUUAUUUUUACACUUAAUGUUACAUUUGUAAGUUUUUAUUUUGUUUACCCAUAAUACACUAAUUUAUCACUCCUAUGUUAAUUUACUUGUUUUACCUUUCAUUUACAAAUCUUAUAUUUUAUUUACAUAAUUUAUGUUUUAUUUUACAUUUAAUAUUGAUUUACAAAUUUUAUGUUAAAUUUGUAAGUUUUUAUUUUGUUUACCAAUAAUACAUCAAUUUAUCCUCCUAUGCGAAUUUACUUAUUUUACCUUCCAUUUACAAGUCUUAUAUUUCAUUUACUAAAUUAAUGUUUUAUUUUACAUUUAAUGUUGAUUUACAUGUUUUAUAUUAUAUUUGCAAGAUUUUGUUUUGUUUACCAACAAUACAUCAAUUUAUCACUCCUAUGUUAAAUUUGUUUUUUCAUUUACAAGUCUUAUGUUUCUUUUACAUAAUUUAUACUUAAUGUUAAUUUAUAAGUUUUAUGUUACAUUUAUAAUCUUUUUGUCUUGUUUGCCAAUAAUAUGUCAAUUUACUAUUUCUAUGUUAUUUUACAUGCUUUACCAUCCAUUUAUAAGUCUUAGAUUUCAUUUACUUAAUCUAUGUUUUAUUUUAUACUUAAUGGUGAUUUGCAGGUUUUAUGUUUAAUUUACAUGUCUUGUGUUUCAUUUAUAUAAUUUAUAUUUAAUUAUGGUAUUGAUGUGGUGACUCCUUUGAUCCUAAUUUAUAUAUGUACGUGGAUUCUCUUUGUUAGUUUAAUGUGCUUGAGAAAUGAGUUUUAUAUAUAAGAAACCUUUAAUUAUCAUUAUACGAAAGGUUUGUAAUAAACUAUGCUUUGAUGAUGUUCUUAUUCCUUAAUCACAAUUGAAGCGUAUCAUUUCAAGCCACUUACUAUAUAAACACAACCAGCAUAGGACUAGUUGGGGUACGACUCACUUUUGAAAUUUUAUUAUUAUUAUUAUUAUUAUAAAAAAUAUAUUUUAUUUAUUAUUUAAAGAAAGUACCAGCUAAAAUAUAAAAUUAUGAAAGUGCUCCAAUUAACUUUAAAAGAUUCUAUAUUUAAAUGUUUCUCGUUGCCUUUACUUUAAAUAUCUAAUUCUAAAUAAUUUAAUUAACUAUUAUAAUAUUAUGAAAUUUAAAUAAAGAUAAAUGACAAUAGGUAUUAAAAUAAAAAAUUAUUAAAAAAGAAAAAAAGAGAUUCAUUUUUCUCUUUUUUUUUUUUAUCUCUUUUUAGUGCUUCAAAUUUAAGACGCUUUUUUUAUUUACUUGUCAACACAGUAGUGGAGUAGCUGACUAGAGCAGUGCGUGUGCGUCAGUGCAUGAAUUUCAUCCCAGUUCCUAUGAAUUAAAAGCGCUUUCCUUCAAUUAUCUAGCUAAAUCUAACUUUUAAUUAUUCUAAUUGAUCUUUUAUUUAGUUUUAAGAUCUCUAAUUUUAUCAUGUAUUCAUGUUUGAUAUUUGCAUUGCAUUAUAUGAAUAUUUAUACUAUUAUUAAAAUAUUUUAAAAACAAAUUAAGUGAUCACUUAUUUCUGUACAUUUAAAAAGAUGUUUUUAAUUGUAUUGAUAAUGAAACUAUCUUACAUCAUUUUCAAUACUUGAAGUCCCAUCUAGGAAUUUUUGAUGAGGACAAUUAUAAUAUGUAAAUUUAUUUUCAAUAAAUAUUAUAAGGGUUAUUAUCAUUUCAUUAUUUCAAAAAUUGAAAAAUAUAAAAUGACUACAAGAAGUAUUAUCCCCAAUCAUUUUCCUACUAUCUUUACAAAAAUAUUAUUUUAUUAUUUUUUUGUUACAACCGUUAGUUGACUAACAAAAUACCAAUUUCACCCUUCAUGAUUAAAAAAUAAUAAUACUUGAAGCGUAUUUACAAAAUCUUUCACAUUUAUUUGAUCAUCCAAGUUUUAUUUCCGACGUUAGGAUAUAAAAAUAGAAUAAUUAAUAAGACAAAUUUAUAAUCCAUAUAUCAUAAUUCCAGCAAAAAGAAUUAUGUUGGUAUUUUGUAUUUAUUUUAAUAAAUAUAUUACAAAUUUAUCUUAUUAAUGAUUCCAUUUUUAUAUCCUAAUGUUGGAAAUAAAACUUGGAUGAUCGAAUAAAUGUGGAAGAGCUAAUUUUGGAAAUAAGCUUCAAGUAUUUUUUUUUUAAAAAAUCAUGUAGGGUAAAAUUAGUAUUUUGUUAAUCAACUAACUGGUCAACUAACGGUUGUGACAGAAAAAUAAUAAAAUGAUAUUUGUUGUAACAAAAAAGUAAUAAAAUGAUAUUUUUAUAAAAAUAUAAUAAAAAAAUAAUAAGAGACAAUACUUCUAAUAGUCAUUUAAUAUUUUUUAAUUUUUAAAGUUGUGAAAUGAUAAUAACCCAUAUUAUAAUUGUAAUGUUAUAUACUCUAUUAAAAUUGUAUUCUAAUUUAAAUAGGAUGUUGACUAGGUGCUCGCAGUCUCACACCUUAUUGAGCACGACUGAGCAAAUGGCAAGCUCCCAUUUGGGGUUGUGAGGCCAACAGCACAACUCUUCAAAUGAGAGCUUGACGUGUGCGCUGUCGCCCACUUGAUCAUGUUCGAUUUUAAGUAUACUCCAAUUCAAUUGAAAUCCUGGCUGACAUCCCUGCUUAGUUGUACAUUUCAGCAAUAUCCGUCCAGGUUUUGUAAGUGGUUCUUUAUAUGUCUAUACUAUUUCGUACUUACAACAGCCUCUUACAAAAUCUGGCAUCCACCCUUGCCUAGCUCCAUUUCCAUGGAUCAAGAUCAAUAUGGAUGGUACAGCUAAAGAAAUCCUAGUAUUUUGUCUUGCGGUAUUUUGAGGUUAUAAUGGUACUUUCAAGGGACGUUUUGCAAAGCCUAAGGCUUAGGGUAUAUUUGCUAUCAUUCUGGCCAUUGAAUUGACUUCUCAACAGGGUAGGGAAUUUAGUUUGGCUAGCAAGUGACUCAGAUGCUAAAGCUGCUUGUACAACUAAUUCCAAUUUUAUGCCAUAUUCGCAAUUUCGUACUAGGUGGCACAACUGUCCGCAAUUAAUUUAUGGCAUGACGUUUUGUUGCUCUCAUGUUUAUAGAAAGGUGAAAACUGGAGCUGACAAAUUUAAUUAUUUGAUAAAUUUAGUUGUUGCAGGUUUAUUUGGUAGGACUCGCCUCCAGAAGCUGUACAGAAUUUGGGGCUAUGCGGAUGCUUGGGUUUGACCCAAAUAUGGUUAUUAUUGAUUCUGCUUUCUUAGACCAAUAUCCAUUUGUUAAUAUUUACCGAAACAUGAUAUGUGUUGCACAUGUGUAUUUUUUUGUUAACACUCUGGGUGGUAAUUCCUCUGUGAGCAUAAUGUACCAAAAAUGACUGGUUGCUGUCCACUUUUCACUUCUUUGACCACAAUUGCCCUUAUGCCAGUUGGGGAGGGAAAAGAGGCCUGCUGCAAGAAGAGUUAGUGAUUAACAAGUGCCUGUUGAAUUAAUCUUGAAAGAUAAUAGUACAUGUUGUUAGUUGAUUGUCAAGAAUGAUGAUACUUGAAGAUGAUUUUUUAAUUACUCGUGUGACAAAUAGAGGAAGCCCUUUUACAGUAGCUGAUCAUAGAUUUGAACAUAUUGUUAUUGGACACCUCACCUUCUCUCUCUCUCUCUCUCUGUGAAAUGGUCGCUGUCUGUCUGGCAAGAUCAAAAUGAUUUUUUAAGGUUGUUUUGGUUUGCAAUAAGAAGUCUGAGAGAUAAAUCUCCUUAGCCCUACUAGGUGCCAUUUAUCUUGAAUGGUUUUCUCAUUAAUUUGUGAAUUUUUUAAAAUCCUUUGACAUAUUGAAACUUCUGUUUUAUGAAGCUACAUGUUGAGAAAAUUGGAAAAAAUGGUUGAUAACUGUCUGGUCUCUACGUAAGAUGUAUUGGUUGGGUUUAGAUAGUUGAUUGGUUGAAUGUAUAUUCUUUCAUUGACAUCAAAUGGUUACAUGCUUCCACAUGCAGUCCUGAGGAUGAGUUAGGAGUCCUUUGUGUAUGAUGGGAAAUGUGAUAUGUGGAUCUUUGCUAGAUAGUCAGCUUGCACAUAUCAUCUAACUAGAAAUGGGAUGGGGGUUUCUCUAUUGCAGAAAUUUGAUGUGAUGUAUUUGAAUAUUAUUGUUUGGUGGCUGAAGUAGUUUAUUGUUUCUCUCAAGCGGGCAAUGGUUUGAAGCUCGAUAUAUCAUAUUGUCAGACUUUGUAUUUUAGUGAUUAGUGAAGGGUGUCUAACUAAUAUCGUACUAUUCUGCAGCAUCGCAAGCAGGUUAAGCUGUCUGGCUGCUCCAAGUUCAAGCUUUUUUUCACGCGAUUCCUUCUCUUUGUUUUCUUAUGCUAGUCCAUCUCAGACUUCAUACCGUCGUAGGGGAGCACGAUUGAUCGUUAGAGCUGAUAGUGUGAGUAUAGGCUUUAUGUACUUUGGAAAAUGGAUCCUUUAUUUGUUGUUUUUUUCGCGCUGUUGAUGCAAUUGAUAUGUUCACCGUGUGAUUGUAUUCAUGCGCAGGACUACUAUUCAGUUCUAGGGGUGUCAAGAAAUGCAAGUAAAUCUGAAAUUAAAAGCGGUACGUAGACUUACGAUUUUUUCUGGGGUGAGCUGGUCUAUCACGUUCAUUAUAUCUGUGAUCUGUCCUCCUCUGCUUUCUUUUUUGGUGUGAUAUUUAACUUUGUGUUUAAUUAUGACUUUGCGAAUGAUUGAAGCUUAAUAAUUAACCCAGGUUUUGUGGUUGUCUGAAUUGAAGGUCACAGAAUUAUUUAGAGUUUCAUCUUUACUAAUUCCAUGAAUAUUUCCAUUUUGUAUUUUUCGCACUCUGCCUUGUAGUUUAUUAGUAUUCAGUACCAUCUUUUGUCCAUUAAAUUUUGUCUCUCUGUUUGUUUCUCAGUUUAUCUGCAUAUACAAUUUGCUUGUGUUUCAUUAUCCUUUUGCUCUUCUAAGUCCAUGGGAAAAGAGAUUUACGUUUUAUAUGACAUACCUGAUUUUAAUUUCUUCUUUGAAGUCCCGCUGCUUUUGAAGUUGAAGCAAUACCAUAACUUAAAAUGGUUAUAUCACAUAUAAUAUGGUCUUUUUAUGAGAAAUAUUAUAUAAUUGCAGAAAACCUUAUGUAGUUUACACAAAACUGUAAACGUUAAGGUGCUGCAAAUAUAUAUACUUGAGUUGGUGACUGACUCUGAUAAAAAUCUUUUUACAGUUCACUAGAAUGGUGACUAUAAAUUAUAGUUAAAAUGGGACAGUUAUAACUAGUAUCUGGGAAGGUGAAGUAUAAACUUACGUAUUUUUGUACACCUAAUCAAUUACAUUCAAGUAGCAAACAUCUGUUGGAUAUUCCUUUUUCUCGGUUUGCUGCAUAAUGUUUCUCAAUUGUCACUUGUAGCUGCCUGUAAAUUUUGUCAAUUAAUGUUACUGGCUCUUUUCAAACUUUUCUUUUAUAGCUUAUCGGAAGCUUGCAAGGAGUUAUCACCCGGAUGUAAACAAGUAAGUUCUUUCUCAUUCUUUCUCUUUAUCUAUAAUCUCAAAAGGAAGUUACAAUACUUAAAAAGCUUACCAUUUCGUUUGUAUGAAUCUUCCAAAAAUUAAGUUUGCUUACUUUUGGAAUCAUUUAAUUGUAUUAUGCAGAGAACCUAAUGCAGAACAGAAGUUCAAGGAAAUUAGCAAUGCAUAUGAGGUAAAAAAGGUUCAGUUAUGCAUUUUAUGAUUGAACUUUGUUCAUUGUGUAAAGUAUCUGAUCUUAAGGAAUACAACCAUUCUGUUCUGCAGGUUCUGUCAGAUGAUGAGAAACGUUCUUUAAAUGACAAAUUUGGGGAGGCUGGACUUAAAGGUGCUGGUAUGGGCAUGGGGGUAAGUUAAAUUUCCACUGAUUAUUGCAUAUAUUUAUUGUUGGCCCCUUCUAAUUCUCCAUUUUGGAUCAACUACUUGAGCAUGCCAGGAUUUCAGCAAUCCUUUCGAUUUGUUUGAAUCACUAUUUGAGGGCACGGGUGGUAUGGGCGGAAUGGGGAGCAUGGGGAGCAGAGCUUCCAGGAGCAGAGCAGUUGAUGGACAAGAUGAAUAUUACAGCCUUGUCAUAAAUUUCAAAGAAGCUGUUUUUGGCGUUGAAAAGGAGAUUGAGAUAACACGUCUUGAGACCUGUGGCACUUGCAAUGGUUCUGGUGCAAAGCCAUCUACAUGUAGUACCUGUGGUGGCCAGGGACAAGUAGUCUCAUCAGCAAGGACUCCGUUAGGUGUCUUCCAGCAGGUAAUGACUUGCUCUUCAUGCGGUGGGACCGGGGAAGUGUCUACCUCUUGCAACACGUGUUCUGGGGACGGACGAGUAAGGAGGACAAAGCGGAUCAGUCUGAAAAUUCCUGCUGGUGUGGACACUGAGAGCCGUUUAAGAGUACGGGGAGAAGGAAAUGCUGGAAGGAGAGGUGGUUCUCCUGGUGACCUCUUUGUUGUUAUUGAAGUUAUCCCAGACCCUGUGCUAAAACGUGAUGGUACCAACAUUUUAUAUACCUGCAAAGUGUCAUAUAUAGAUGCAAUUUUGGGGACUACCAUAAAGGUCCCAACAGUGGAUGGCAUGGUUGAUUUGAAGAUCCCAGCUGGGACCCAGCCGAACACAACACUUGUUAUGGCAAAGAAAGGGGUACCAGUACUAAAUAAAAGCAACAUGAGAGGAGAUCAGUUGGUACGCGUCCAAGUUGAAAUCCCGAAAAGAUUGAGCAGUGAAGAGAGAAAACUUAUUGAGGAGCUUGCUGAUCUGAGCAAGGGAAAGACAGCAAGCAGGAGAUAGUUGCUUGGGCCUUUUUGUAUUUAUCAAAUUUAUGUUGCUCACCCCGAAGAAACAUUCUUCAUUCUAUGGUGGUCAUUGCUGAGUCUAUAUGGCUCAUGAUAAGGGGAUUUCUGAAUUUGACAGUUCUCAGUGUGUCUGAGCUGAGGAAAUGGGGUAAGCAAGUUUCUGUAGUAGUAGGUGAAAUUACAUUGCUUUACUUUUGACCACAAGAAGAUAUCUUUGAGAAUGGUUAAUGGAGGUGAAAUGGGAGAUGCAUCCCUCUUUAAUUUUGUUUUCUACUUGAUUUCAUAAGUUACCUAUUAAUUAUUUUUUGGAGUGUGACUAGAUUUUGUGCAAUAAUACCAUCCUUUAAUUUUGCAACAGCUUGAUGAUUUUUGCGAAUGUGGACUUGUGAUGAAAUGGUUUUAUUUAUUUUUUUACUUCGGUCAUUAGUCAAUGAUUAUUGAUCAUGGCUGCAGGGGUCAAAUUCAUUCCCUCGAAAUGAAUUGUAUAUCUGUCAAUGUGUGAAUGGGGAUCUAAGUUUAAUACUUGGACAAGUAUUUCUACUCGAAUUGUUCUGAAUAUGUAUUUUUAUUUUUAUUUUUUUGGCGGGGUCAAUGCCCAUGGAGUUGUCGGACUGCUUUGUUUUCAUGCAUUAGAUUUUAUUAUCAGGGGUUGUAUGAAUUCCGAAAUUAUACUCGAUCCAGUGUCCCCUCGAUUGCGCACCACCAAAAAUUACUAAAGCAUAAAAAUCAUUCGAAUGCUUAGUUUGGUUUAGUCUGUGUCAUUUGGAUGGCCAGUCUUCAGAUAAUGCAUUGGAUAUUAUUCUUUUUUGUUAGGUAGUAAGGGUAAAAGAUGCUCAUUAUCGUUUUCCUAAAUCUUAUUAGUGGCCUCCUCUUAGCACUUAGCGGUAUCGUUUGAUGCCCGUGGUUCAUUCUUUUAUUCUCUUGAUCUAUUAAUCAAAUAAUGCGGCAUGCUCUGCUGAGGGCUGCUGCCUCGUGAUAAUAACGAUAGUAUGCAUUACGGCAGGGUACUCUUCUUAUUCAGGUAUUGUUAGCUUUAAACUUUUUAUCUUGAUUCUUUUUUUUUUUUUUUGGUUAAACCACGAGAUAUCCUGGGUAGGGCCCCAACUGUGCGAGGCACCUUUAAGACUAUACCACAACCUAAACUAGAAAUCUCCGCUCGCACCGGGUGGCAGGUGCUCCCAACAAGUGCGACUUCCCUGCGACUCGAACUGAGAAGCAAAUCCAGUCAAGCCACUUAAGGGAACUCCAGUUGCCAGAGGAGCCAACACUUUGUUGGUUUUUUAUCUUGAUUCUUGAAAGUAGAAAAUCUCAACAAAGUUGGGGCGGCAAAUAAUUAAAAAGAGAAAAACUGGCCAAACGUGUAUAUAUACAAGUUAAAUGGACGUGGACAGACAAAGUACAUAGCGGAAUUAAGAAAGAAGAAGAUAUUUCUAGUCUAUGAAACACUUUAUUCUAUCCAAUUCUAAAUUAUGAGCACAUAAACAACUAAUCACUUUCACAUUUUUCUUUUCAAGGUCUUCCUACAAUUAAUACAUAUUGAAAAAUAUAUCUAAUAUUUGCAUUGAAAGUGCCGGGAGAAAAUAGCUGGGAAUUUCUAUAUAAGCCAGUGAACCUUCAAGCAGCCAAUAAGCCUGGAGGAGUCUUAAUUCCCACCUACUUAGUUGGCUUAGCUUAAAAAUGAGUUCAUCAAUAUGUUUGCUUCGUCGACGAAUAUGGGUUCAUUAAACAAACCCCAUGCUGUGUUUGCUCCACAUCCAGCAUAAGGUCAAUGCAAUUACCAAAACUAUUACAUUUCAGGGGCUUUUACAUAAUUUUGUAAACAACCACAUACGUUUAAUUCGCUCCAGAGGGCUAGCUUUUGUAAAAGGCUUACACGAUUUUUGGCUUGAAGCAAUACAUGAUGGGCUGCAACUUUCGGACGUUGAUGCCACACGUGAUUUGCGGGCUCUAUCAUAUUCGAUUCAAAAGAGCUGCCUGGGUGCUUGAAGAAAGCUAUUGGCUAAGCUGAAUAAUCCUCCACUUACAUGCAUUGUAUCUGAUGGGCUCACGACUUUUACCAUUAAAGCUGCGAAGGAGCUUCGCAUCCCAGAAGUUCAAUUCUAUGCUACCUCUGUUUUUGGUUUUAUGGCCCACUUGUCUUUCGGCGAACUCAUCCAAAAAGGCCUUGUUCCUUUCAAAGGUAACUUUCCUUCUGCAAUUAAGUCCGAAAUGAUAUUGAUAUAUUUUGUGUACAUCGACAUGCAGAUGAAAUGAAAACCCAUAUUAGAUGUCAUUUUACCAAAAUUGUCCAAUCCAAGAAAAAUACAUAUAAUUUCUAGAAGACCCAAAAGUAAUUUCUGAUUUAUUUUAUCCCGUAUGUCAUCAAGGAGAGUCUUAGGCGAACCCACGUGUACUUCUCAAGUAAAAAGCAGGUAAUAGAUCCACGUGGCAAGAAUUUAGUGGCAAAUAAAAAAUGUAGACGGUUAUAUAUCCGAGCCCCCAAGAAUUUUCCCCGCGUAUGCUGCUAAUAAAUGCGUUCCACACGAUGCAUCUCUAGAACUACGGUAUGUACGGACAUGUCUGCGAUGAAGACAUAUAAAGCCGUGUUUCAUCAGAUGAAAUACAAAAUUGCUUAAAAUCAUCCGCAAUCAUGCUCAUCACAUUUGAUGAGCUCGAUCAUGAAGUGUUAGACCAAAUUCCCUCGCAUUUACACAAUAGGCCCGCUACCCUUAUUGCUUGAAAGAGUUUCGCAUCUCUCAAGCCCUGGUCGGCUACUGACUUCGUUCAUUCAACAAUCAUUGAACGCCCUUUUGAGCUAACUGCAUCGGUUAUGCCGACAACGACAUAUUCUCUGGCAAAAGAAAUGACUUCUAAUGUCUGGAAUGGCUUGAUCAAAGGCAAAAGAAGUCGAUUGUGUUUGUUAGUUUCGACAGCAUAACUGUGAUGUCGGACCGACAGGUUAACGAAUUAGUGGGGUAUUGAAAAUAGCAAUCACCCAUUUUUGUUGGUAGUGAGGCCUGAUUUGGUGGCUGCAGGAAAUCCAGCAAUGUUACCGAGAGAAUAUUGCGAAGAGAUUAGGGAUAGAGGUUUCCUAGUUAGUUGGUCUCCUCAAGAACAAGUGCUCUGUCACCCUUCAGAUGUUGCAUUUCUAACUCAUAGCCGAUGGAAUUGGAAUUCGACCAUUGAAAGUGUAUGCCGAGGGGUUCCUGUAAUCUGUUAAGGCCUUUUUUCGAUGAGCAGUCGAGGGACUGGCAUGGAGAUUAAUCAGAAUGUAAAGCGUGAUGAAGUUAAAGUUCUUGUUAGAGGAAUGAUGGAAGGGGACAAGGGGAAGCCGAUCAAGUGUAUGGCUUUGGGAUGGAAGAAGAAAGCUGAAGCUGCUACUUACAUUGGGGAUCAUCUUACAAGAAUUUAAAUAGAUUCAUAAACGAUGUUUCAUAUGGCACCUCAAAAUAGUGCACAUAUUGUAUAUUCCAAACAAACAGAUGAAACAAAUUUAAUAUUUUGUUUUGGAGUGUUUAGAACCAGUAGUAUAGUUUUUGAGUGUUUAGAACCAGUGGUAUAACAAGAAGGUGUGUUUCUUGUAAUAGUUAAUUCAUGUCAUAGGUUUGACAACUACCCAGCGAUAACUACAUAUUAAGUGAACAAUAUGCAAAUGAUAAAAUGGUAAAAGAAUUAAAACAUUAAAACUUUAAUGAAAUCUUUCUACCAUCAAAGCAUGACGAGACAUUUCCUAAAUAUAUGAGACUGAGAGGGAGGCCUUUCUUAAUUAAAUGGUAUUUUGCUUGCCGUUCUAGCAAGAGACACUAUCAUCAAUCAUUUUAAAAAAUAGAUAUAUUAUGAUUCAUGCAUGAGAUAACUCAGCUACUAAGAUAGUAACAUCCACAAAGUGCGCAUAGUCCACAUUUAAAAAAAAUUAAUUAAUUGACACAUGUAAGCAGUGGCAACUUUAAUGCUAGGUAAAUUACGCAGUUGCCUAGGGCCCAUAUUUAAGAAGGCCCAAUUUUAAGGUAUUUAUUUAUUAAUUAAUAUAAUAAAUAUUUUUUUAAGAUUAAAAAAAUUAAGUUAUGUAUAUAUAUUUUUUACAAUAAAAAAGCCUAUUUUUUAGGCUUUACCCUAUCAUUACUCUCAUUCAUAAUUAUCUCUCUUAUUUGAUAAUCUUUACCUUAAAUAUAAGAUAUAUUUUUAUGGUAUAAUAAUUAUUUUGAACGUCACUUAUUUAUUUUUUUUUACUAUUUUCCAAAAAAAAAAUCAAUGCUUUCCCUUUAAAAAAAAAACUCUUAUUAAAAUUAGUAACGUUAGAUUUUUAGAGCUAACUUUUAGUAUUCUAUUAAAAUAUAUUUAAAAACUCAUUAUCUAUAAACCGAUACACAUUGAAUCAAAGAUACUUUCAGCAAAAAGUUUUUGUGCUCUCAUCUCUUUCUCUACAAAAUUCAUUGCCAUCAUCAUCUUCAUCUUAACUAGUCAAUUGACUCAAAUCUAGGUGCUAUCAUUCUAUUUUUUAUUAUUACUGUUCUUAUCCUUUUUAAAUUUAAUUUAUUUUUUAUUUUGGCUUGAAUAGUCUAGAAAAAAAUUUGUAUUUGUUUUUUUAUUUAUUUGAAAACCAUGUCAACUAAAAAAUAUGAAUCAAGAUCAUAGCACGUAGGAGCAAUGGUUUAAAGUUCACAGGAAGAUUAUGGUUGUGGCUGAUGAAGUUUUAAAGCAUUUUAAGAAGAUGGAAUUUGUGGAAGACAAAAUUAGUUAAUAUUCAUGUGGAAAUAAAUAAAUAUCUUUCCGACAAUUUUUUUUUUGGAUCUUGUUAAUAAUUGUUGCAAUUCAAGAUAUUAUUGAAUAUAGUUGAAUUUUAAGUUACUUGAUGUUGUUGUGAGAGUUUUUUAAGCUAUUUAAUGUUCUUGUGAGAGUAGAUAUUUUAACAUUAAAAUACCUAAAAUAAAAUUUCGCUUGAGACCUCUAAUUAGUUAAAGCCGGCCUUGCAUGUAAGUAAAAUUUGAAUUUAAAUCUUUUACUCCCUACUCCGAGAUAUUUUUCAAGGGAAGUUCCCUUGCAUCCCCAAAAAAAAAUGUUUUUAAUUGUUGACAUGCCAUGAAAGGAAGUUAGUAAUUCAGUAAAAUGUAACUGUUAGAUCCUGAAUGUCGUAAUAUUUUCAAUUGUGGGAUUUUUUUUUUUGGAGAAUUUAGAAACCGCGGAAAACAUGCCGGCUGUUGCAUCCAAAUGAGUAAAAGAAAACCCUACUGAUCAGUACUCAUUUCCCAUGGGCCACGACAAAUAAAUGUAGUAAUUAUUGACUCCUGCGACUGCAUGUGAGUAGGGUCCAGGUGUUGCAUUUAGCUGUAAGUCGCACUAAAUAAAUAACGACACAAGAGAUGGGAUCGUGCAAAAGUGACAGCUGCCGCGGCAGCUUAGCUAGACCCUUCUUGGUCUCGAUUCCUGUUUCCUGACAUUAGGAUGGCACUAACAAGAAGAAAAACUUUAUGGGUUUUACGUAAUAAAUGAUAUAUUAUUAUUUUUUUAAUCAAAAAUCUAGUGGAGGGAGUUAACUUAAAUGGCACAACUCGUUUUCGUAUAACCAUAUUUCUCUACUUCAAUAUUAAAGGUGAUGUUCUAUGUCCAUCUCAAUAAUUGUGAUAAAAGACAUAUCAACUACUCGUGUUUAGAUAAAAUUCAUUUACUGAUCUACCUAAUCUCACUGUUUGGUUAUUUAUUUUUGUAUUAUUUUGUCUUAUUGUAAAUAACAAUAAAUAUAACUUGAGCAAACCCUAAAAUGAAAUCUUACUAUUCAAAUUCUAAUUAAACGCUUAAUCAUCUUACUUAUAGUAACAAAAUAAUUGGCCAUGAAACCUCCUUAUGAAGUUGUUUUUCAGAAUCCGUAUUUGGGAAUGAUUGUUCAUGCAAUUUGGUUUAUCACUUAAAUUAUUUGGGGGCGGAGUUUGGUUGUGUUACUCAGUUGAGCUUCCUCUUAAUUAGUAAGCAACACUGAGCUUGCUAACACUUAACCAUAGGUUUUAUUCAACUCUAUUUGAUUUUUUAGUUCCAGAAAAAGAUUAAUAAUAAUAUUAUAGGCAUGGAAAUGAAAUGAAGCAAAACAUCUCAAAGCAUAAUUAAUUUGAAAAAACAAGAAACUCCAAGAAGAUAUUUUUUAGAGUUUAAAGGCCUGUGGCGACGGACUGGUGAAGAGUUUCGGUUCCGGUCCAAUUUCCUUGGUGAAGAACCAUCUUAACUAAUCUGUCAAAAUUAUUGUAAGACUGACCUCCAACGGCAGUCGCUGCUUCGGCUUUCUUUUUCCAUUCCCAAGCCUUCUGCCUCAUUUUCUUUCCUUCAUCUCCG